AGUGGAUGGGGAGCAACCUAGUUGUGCGUGUGUAAAGGUAGUGCCAAGAAAAGCGAUGAUCAUGUUGAAGAUCAAUUCCCGGUACCCGAAACCGACACAGGUGGGCAAGUAGAGAAUACUAAGGGGCGCGAGGUAACUCUCUCCAAGGAACUCGGCAAAAUGACCCCGUAACUUAGGGAGAAGGGGUGCCACCGAGAGGUGGUCGCAGUGAAGAGGCCCAGGCGACUGUUUAGCAAAAACAUAGGUCCCUGCAAACUCGAAAGAGGAGGUAUAGGGGCUGACGCCUGCCCAGUGCCGGAAGGUUAAAGAAGUUGGUCAGUUUUAGGAUGAAGCUAGCGACUGAAGCCCCGGUGAACGGCGGCCGUAACUAUAACGGUCCUAAGGUAGCGAAAUUCCUUGUCGGGUAAGUUCCGACCCGCACGAAAGGCGUAACGGUCUGGGCGCUGUCUCGGAGAGAGGCUCGGCGAAAUAGGAUUGUCUGUGAAGAUACGGACUACCUGCAUUUGGACAGAAAGACCCUAUGAAGCUUUACUAUAGCUUGGAAUUGUGUUCGGGCUUCCUGUGCGCAGGAUAGGUGGGGGGCGUAGAAGGUAUUCUUGUGGGGAUACUGGAGCCAACGGUGAGAUACCACUCUCAGGAGGCUAGAAUUCUAACUUAAUUAAGGACAGUUUCAGGUGGGUAGUUUGACUGGGGCGGUCGCCUCCAAAAAGGUAACGGAGGCGUACAAAGGUUCCCUCAGACUGGUUGGAAAUCAGUCGAAGAGUGCAAGGCAGAAGGGAGCUUGACUGCGAGAAGUACAGUUCGAGCAGGGUGGAAACACGGUCUUAGUGAUCCGACGGUGCUGUGUGGAAGGGCCGUCGCUCAACGGAUAAAAGUUACUCUAAGGAUAACAGGCUGAUCUCCCCCAAGAGUUCACAUCGACGGGGAGGUUUGGCACCUCGAUGUCGGCUCAUCGCAACCUGGGGCGGAAGUACGUCCCAAGGGUUGGGCUGUUCGCCCAUUAAAGCGGUACGUGAGCUGGGUUCAGAACGUCGUGAGACAGUUCGGUCCAUAUCCGAUGUAGGCGUGAGAAUAUUGAGAGGAGCCUUCCUUAGUACGAGAGGACCGGGAAGGACGCACCGCUGGUGUACCUGUUAUGAUGCCAAUUGUAAACGCAGGGUAGCCAAGUGCGGAGAGGAUAACCGCUGAAAGCAUCUAAGUGGGAAGCCCACCUCAAGAUGAGUAUUCUGGUGUAAGGUCACGGGAAGACGACCCGUAAAUAGGCACGAGGUGGAAGUGCAGAGAUGUAUGAAGCCGAAGUGUACUAAUAGACCGUCGGCUUGACC
rnacentral:rRNA from 1 species